rnacentral:rRNA from 1 species
AUUGAACGCUGGCGGAAUGCUUUACACAUGCAAGUCGAACGGCAGCACGGGGGCAGCCCUGGUGGCGAGUGGCGAACGGGUGAGUAAUACAUCGGAACGUGCCCGGUCGUGGGGGAUAACGUAGCGAAAGUUACGCUAAUACCGCAUACGAUCUGAGGAUGAAAGCGGGGGACCUUCGGGCCUCGCGCGAUCGGAGCGGCCGAUGUCAGAUUAGGUAGUUGGUGGGGUAAAGGCCUACCAAGCCGACGAUCUGUAGCUGGUCUGAGAGGACGACCAGCCACACUGGAACUGAGACACGGCCCAGACUCCUACGGGAGGCAGCAGUGGGGAAUUUUGGACAAUGGGCGCAAGCCUGAUCCAGCCAUUCCGCGUGAAGGACGAAGGCCUUCGGGUUGUAAAAUGCUUUUGUACGGAACGAAAAGGCUCUGGCUAAUACCUGGGGCUCAUGACGGUACCGUAAGAAUAAGCACCGGCUAACUACGUG